rnacentral:lncRNA from 1 species
CGAGCCGGGGAGCUGCGUGCGUCCUCCAGCCCCCCGCUCCCCGGAAACCCGAGGGGCUGUGCGCACCGUGCCGGGGACCCCAGUGCGGUGCAAACGCCGGAAGCAGGCGAGGGACCCGCGAGACCUAAGUGGGGACGAGUGGGGGGCGACAGACCGGGCUGGGAAAUUGCCAACCCGUCCCCGGAGACUGCUUUUUGGGAGCCCCGUCCCUUCCCCGGAGGAGGCAAAUUCCACAGGGAGGCAACAUCAGAUCGCCUCUCGCACACUGGCUCUACGAGAGAAAAGCUGUGACAGAAAAAAGCAGAAAGUGAAGCAACAUGUAAGCCAGCAGCCUGAGGACCACACCAUCAAUGAGAGAUGCUGGGAAGAGAUGCUGGGAAGAGAUGGCCCGAGAGUCCAAGAGCAUGAGAUGAGUUACACAUGGAUGUUCUCUGCUGGGCACAAUAGGCCUCAGGAUAAUCAGAGAGACAGUAUUUAUCUUUUAAGCCAAGAAACAGGAUGAGUGAAAGCCCAAUAACAACUGGAAUUGGUUGGUCAGUUUUUUAGAAACAGAGACAGGAUGAAACACC